rnacentral:rRNA from 1 species
GAUGAACGCUGGCGGCGUGCCUAAUACAUGCAAGUCGAGCGAACAGACGAGGAGCUUGCUCCUCUGACGUUAGCGGCGGACGGGUGAGUAACACGUGGAUAACCUACCUAUAAGACUGGGAUAACUUCGGGAAACCGGAGCUAAUACCGGAUAAUAUAUUGAACCGCAUGGUUCAAUAGUGAAAGACGGUUUUGCUGUCACUUAUAGAUGGAUCCGCGCCGCAUUAGCUAGUUGGUAAGGUAACGGCUUACCAAGGCAACGAUGCGUAGCCGACCUGAGAGGGUGUUCGGCCACCCUGGACCUGAGACACGGUCCAGACUCCUACGGGAGGCAGCAGUAGGGAAUCUUCCGCAAUGGGCGAAAGCCUGACGGAGCAACGCCGCGUGAGUGAUGAAGGUCUUCGGCUCGUAAAACUCUGUUAUUAGGGAAGAACAAAUGUGUAAGUAACUAUGCACGUCUGGACGGUACCUAAUCAGAAAGCCACGGCUAACUACGU